AGCUUUGCGAAGUGGCAGUAUCAUAGCCAAUGAGGUUUAUCUGAGGCGCGAUUAUUACUAAUAGAAUGAUAUUUACAGUCUAAAUUAGAGGAGAAUAGAUGGAAGACAGAAAGUCAUAUGUCUUAGAAGAACAAAUCCUUACUCCUAUUUUAGAAAUAAUAAAAUU
rnacentral:snRNA from 1 species